rnacentral:tRNA from 1 species
AAGAAAUUAGUUAAUUUAUAAUCCUAGCUUGUCAUGCUAGAGUAAUCUUUAAGAUAUUUCUUA